rnacentral:rRNA from 1 species
GCCAAACUCCUAGCCCCAACACAAUUGAUGACCCCCCCCCUAUUAAAUUUAACUAAACGAAACAUCCUAACAGUCCAGUAAAGGCGAUUAAAAAACUAAUUGGAGCUAUAGCCUAAUAGUACCGAAAGGGAAUAAUGAAAUACUAUGAAAAGUCAAGCACAACAAAAUAGAGCUUAUUGCUCGUACCUUUCGCAUCAUGGUUUAACUAGAAUAAGCAAGCGAAAAGAGUUAAAGUUUGCCCUCCCGAAACUAAGUGAGCUACUUCAGAGCAGCUUCUUGAGCAAACCCGUCUCUGUUGCAAAAGAGUGGGAAGACUCCCAAGUAGAGGUGACAUGCCUAA